CCUCCUUUCUUGGCAUACUCGUUGUUUUCUCGUACACGUGUGUGUAUGUGUCGGAGGGAUAUCAAAAUCCAGUGCUAUGUCUUCGGUGCUAGAAGGUCACCCAUCUUCUAGUUCUAUCCUCAAGACCUGGAACAGCU
ensembl:snoRNA small nucleolar RNA SNORA57